rnacentral:rRNA from 1 species
GACGAACGCUGGCGGCGUGCCUAAUACUUGCAAGUUGAGCGCUGAAGGUUGGUACUUGUGCCAACUGGAUGAGCAGCGAACGGGCGAGUAACGAGUGGGGAAUCUGCCAUUGAGCGGGGGACAAUAUUUGGAAAAGACUGCUAAUAACGCAUAAAAACUUUAAACACAAGAUUUAAGUUUGAAAGAUGCAAUUGCAUCACUAAAAGAUGAUCCCGCGUUGUAUUAGCUAGUUGGUGAGGUAAAGGCUCACCAAGGCGAUGAUACAUAGUCGACCUGAGAGGGUGAUCGGCCACAAUUGGAAUGAGGCACGGCCCAAACUCCUACGGGAAGCAGCAGUAGGGAAACUUUGGCAAUUGACGAAAGUCUGACCGAACAACGCCGCGGGAGGUAAGGAGGUUUUCGGAUCGUAAAACUCUGUUGGUAGGGAAGAACGUUGGGGAGAGUGGAAAGCUCAUCAAGUGACGGUAACUACCCAGAAAGGGACGGCUAACUACGUG